GGAUACGGAAGUGGCUGGUGUGGCGUGGAUGUUGCGAUUUACGGGCUGCAACGGAGAAUCCAAGGAAAAUGGAUAUUGGAAGUGCGGAGGAAGUUAAGUGAUCGACCUUUUGUAUGUUGUGUUUACCUCUUAUUGUGGAUUGAGUUGAAGGAGCGAUCCUACGUUUGGAAGGCCCCUGAGUGAAGGAGAUCAUUGAAUUCGUGUUGGGAGAGGACAACACUGUGCACUGUGUUGAUAGUAGUGCCUUGCGUUGGAGAUCGCUGGGAAAGACGGAGAGACUCCGGUGUACGAUAUAUCUGCCUGCUGUGGUCUGCCCUCCUGCCUUUGUCCAUCUGACCCGCCCUGUCAGGACUCUGAGCCCGAAACGGGAAUACACCACCGAUCUUCUUUCACUGAGUGUGUGGAGUGUGGUGAGUGCUGCUAUAUUGAAGUGUACACACGAGAAGAAUUGUAGUGCCUUUGUGGUGUGUGGUGUUUGUCCGUGGUUGUGUCCCUGGUCGUAGGAAGAGGCCUGACGGAGAGGAGUAGUGUAUUGGUGGCAACCACAGUCUUUACCUUAAGUAAGCUGGAGCUCGGACGUGUUGGAGGCGCCUCUGGAGGAGGUUGGAUGUCGUUGCCCACGCAGCAAUCUCUGUAAGCUUUUAAAUCAAAGCCUUAUCCUUUUUAUCCAUGUGACGUUGUGUCCUUGGCCCUGUCGGCAACCACCGGCCUUGUGCGUGUCGUCUGUGCUGUUUAUUUGACGAGGGAAGCGAAGGACAACAGCCGAUCCUCCCCCGUGUGCCCCCUUGUCAAGCUGGGCGGGAAGCCCAGUAUUGUUUGCAGUUUCACCUGUAAGGCCCACCAGCCGUCAGUCAUCGACUAAACCCGUAUCUGCUUGGAAUACAGACCUCUGAAUAUCUUCCGUGGUGAGUAGCGCUAACAGCUCAGCCCUGUGAAUACUUACCUGUGUAUCGAACACUGUACUUACCUGAGAGCUAGAACCCCUGCACGCUAACAGCCCAGCCCUGUGAAUACCCACCUGUGUAUGGAACACUGUACUUACAUUGAGAGCUAGAACCCCUGCACGCUAACAGCCCAGCCCUGUGAAUACCCACCUGUGUAUGGAACACUGUACUUACCUGAGAGCUAGAACCCCUGCACGCUAACAGCUCAGCCCUGUGAACACUUACCUGUGUAUGGAACACUGUACUUACUUGAGAGCUAGAACCCCUGCACGCUAACAGCUUAGCCCUGUGAAUACUCACCUGUGUAUUGAACUCUGUAUUUACCUGAGAGCUAGAACCCCUGCACGUCAACUGCCUAGCUCUUGCUUUAAACUUACCUGGAGUGGAGUCGGCGGGAAAUUAAGGGCUGAAGUGGAGUGUUGUCGAGGAAGGGCUGAAGAGGAGUGUUCUUGAGACUGGAAUCCGUAUUUGUGGAUAAAGAAUAGUUCGAGUCAUCAUUAGUUUUAAAGUUUCCUUACCCCUUUCCCCAAACUUUUAAACAAAUAAAAUUGUUACAUUUUAA